rnacentral:tRNA from 1 species
UAAAAUGAACUAAAUUUUAGGUUCAAUUUCGAUUUGAAAUUUUGAUUUUUAAUAAUCCAUUUUAU